rnacentral:rRNA from 1 species
GACGGAGGGGGCUAGCGUUGUUCGGAAUGACUGGGCGUAAAGGGCGCGUAGGCGGUAUUUUAAGUGAGGCGUGAAAGCCCCGGGCUUAACCCGGGAGGUGCGUUUCAUACUGGAAUGCUAGAGUGCGAGAGAGGAAAGUGGAAUUCCUAGUGUAGAGGUGAAAUUCGUAGAUAUUAGGAAGAACACCAGAGGCGAAGGCGGCUUUCUGGCUCGUAACUGACGCUGAGGCGCGAAAGCGUGGGGAGCAAACAGG